ensembl:lncRNA
GUUGAAUACUUUUGCAACCAAUAAAAUAUAUAUAUAUAUUGGUAUGGUUUGGUUUUUGUUUUUUAGUAUCAUGAUAAAAAUAUUUUGCAUGUUAUAUUGUGUAAAUAAAAUGGUAACUAUCCCAAUUAAAGUUACAGGUUUCAACAAUGGAAAAGCGCAAAGGGGUGAAUGUUUUAUACUCUUUGUAAUUGCAUGGAACAUAUAGAGAUGAUACAUACAAUCUUACACUCAGAUGCUGAUGGUGUUCCAGUAUUGGCAUUCAUGUGUGCUAAGUCUCCAGCUGUUUCUUCCAGAACCUUACUUGUAGGCCAUAAUGAUCACCCACACACACUUAUAUGCUAGUUUCUUGGAUGUGUGAAGAGCAUGAGGAGAGGAAUGAGCCAGGAAUUGUAGUGGUGUGAUAUGUAGUAUGAAAAGAGGAAUAGAAAUAGAAAUAUGGAAAAUGAAAUUGAGUUUAUGUUUGAUAGAGACUGAACGGGAAAGGGCAGAAAAUAAUUAUGUCAACUUAAAUAAAAUGAUCAACUUCACAGGUAAAAACACAUGAUUCUCACUCUCAAUAUAGUUCAAGAUGUAGAUUAUUUCACUGUUAUCUGGAGUCAUGGUCUCAUAAACACCUGCUUUCAAAAAUGGAAAUAAAUAGUGUUUAUUCAGAAUCAGAAUCACCUUUAUUGCCAAGUACCGUGGGUUUACAUGUACAAGGAAUUUCUCUUGGUCUACUGGUGCUUAACAAUAAUAGUAAAAUAUUAAGAUAAACAAGUGAGAAAAUUGUGAAAAUGAGAAGCAUAAAUAACUAUAAAGCUAUGAGCACAAAUAUAAAAAAUAUAAAGAUUUAGGAAAAUAAAAAUAAAGACAUUAACUGUACAUUAGUGCAGGAUGUGCAAAAGUGGGCCAGUGCGAAUGCUCAUAGUUGAAGUAAUAAAAGGUACAGUAUAGUUGUGUGAGUUAAUGUAAUGUAUAUGGCUGCAACUAAUGAUUAGUGUCAGAAUCGAUUAAUUGGGCAAUUAUUUUCCGAUUAAUCAAUUAACGGAUUGGGGUAAACCUUCAGUAACAUUUUUUCGUUUAAUUUUUAUAUGUAAGUUUAUAUUUUAUAUAUAUUUAUGCAUUUUAUAGUAUGUAUGCAUUAUUUUAAUAGAUGCACAAAAAACACUGAUGAUUAAACUGCAGUCCUAAAUUAAUAAUAAAUUCUCACUUUCACUGCACCUUGUGGUUUCUGUUACUCACUACCUUAAGACAUAUCAUUUUACUUGUGUUUACUUUGAUCGUACCAUUUUAAUUUGACAUUACAGAUCUUGCUUGUGCUACACUGUGUAUCACCAGCUUACAGUCUUUUUCUCGAUGUUUAAUAUAAAAUGCUCCCCCCACCUUAUGCCUCUGUCUGAUGGUGACUGAGAUCAUGUUGGGUAUAAAGGGUAACGUUGCCAUAAACAGUAAACAAGAAAUUUAUUUUCGUUGACUUAUUCUGUUAGCGGUGUCACAUUACAUGCGUUUGACAUCACGUGCCAUUGACUGGGAAACAGCUUAUACUUCCAGUUAGUAAAAAACAGUUAGUGUUCCAUUUGAGAUGAUACUUCCUUUCUAAAAUUCAUACACUAGAUGGUAGAGUUCAUAAUGCAUAGUGUUAGUGUAUAGUACGUCAUUUGGGACACAACUUUUUACUCUCCAAUGCGUGUUUUCGGCACAGAAGUAAUGUAAUGAGUAAAUGUACCCCGUCCCACACGCAGACCAACUAAUCGAUAAUGAGAUUCGUUGAUGAGUUUCAUAAUGUCGAGGUUCCACUUCAUAGAGGAACCAUCAUGGUGGAAGGAUUAGCCACUUAGCAGUAUGAUACUGAACAGUGCCCAGGGUGCACCAGGGGAGGCUCCUUCUGUGCACACACAUUCACACACUACGGACACUUGGGACAUGCCAAUCCGCUUACCAUGCAUGUCUUUGGACUGGGGGAGGAAACCAGAGUACCUGGAGGAAACCCCCGCAGCACAGGGAGAACAUGCAAACUCCGCACACACAGGGCCACGGUGGGAAUCGAACCACCAACCCUGGAGGUGUGAGGUGAACAUACUAACCACUAAGCCACCUUGUGCUUUAAUGUAAUGUGUAAUGUCCAUGGAGGCAGAUAAGAGACCGUGGCUGGUCCUGAGUAGCAUUAAUGAGGCCAGCUGCGGAUGGAAAGAAACUGUGUUUGUGGCGUGAGGUUUUAGCCUUGAUGGACUGCAGCUUCCUGCCAGAGGAGAGUAGGGAUGUCACGAUACCAAAAAUCUAGUAGUCGUUACCGAUACCACCAAAAGUACACGAUACUCGACACCAAAGUCGAUACCACGGUGUGGUAUAAAAAUAAAAUUUUAAAAAAUUUAAUUAAAAACUCUCCUUGAGGACAUCCUCCUCUGGCUGAUACUGGCAAAGAGAGAGAAGGGGGGGGAUAUUUUAGUUAUCAAACACUGUCUGACAGUGAGUGGAGGUGCACUCCUAAACACGCACACACACACAGAGAUGCGCACGCACACACACAUACUCUGAAUUCAAGCAUUAGUUUAAAUUCACUGAUAUGGUGGCAGGCUAAAACGAUUUAUUAAAAGCAUGAACAUUUGAAUAAUUAUUAGUGACAUUAGGCUACAUUUUGCUGACAGGACACGGGCUGAAUGGCGAUGCAUGGUGGUCCAUUCGGAGGUAGUUUAUAACAUUGUGUUAGCGUCGUUAACAAAUAACUGGCUAUCGCUAAUAUUACAUGGAGCAUAACAUUAGCUGGUUUCAUGGUAACAGUGCCAGCUGCCUCAUACAAACAUAAUAUAGGACCGUCUUUCAGGUGCUUCGCCAAAUUCCAGGUGUUUCCUCGCUUUGUUUUAAAUGAACAAUAGCAUCAGUUGCACACCAGAAACCGAUACUAGCUUUCCUCUCAACGAGUCGGGGCGGAGCUAAACUUGUUAAGCUAAGCUAAUCUUCUUAGAUGGGUGAGAGGGGUCAGUCACAAUCUUAACUGUUUCAGGGUCCUGGAAGUGUACAGGUCAUGAAGGGGCGGCAGAUUGCGGCCAAUCACCUUCUCAGCAGAGUGAAUGACAUGCUGGAGUCUGCCCUUGUCCUUGGCAGUAGCAACAGUGUAACAGAUGGUGAUGGAGGAGAAAGCUGACGUUCAGUUCCCACUUGAAGUCUUGGGUGAUGAUGGUGCCCAGGAAGUGGAAGGAGUCCACGGUUUGGACUGUGCGCUGAGUACCAGGUGUGUUCGCUACAUCUCAUCCAAUCGUCUACCACUGGCUCGUUAAACUGUUCUCCAGACCACAGAAACAGUAGAAGUUGGUACCCCAGCACACCCUGAAAUAGAGUGAGGCCUGUGGAUAAGUGGAUGAGGCAAUUUUGGGCAUAUUCAGCCUAGGGAAGUAACUUGAGUAGUAGUUCUGGUGAUUGUGGUACUAAUCCGUCAGGAACUUCCCAAUCUCUUGAUUGAGUCUUUCUGUUUGUCCAUUAGGUUGGGGAUGGUAACUUGAGGAGAGAACAUUGAUGUACAUGGAUGAGUUUUUUGAAAAAGCCUUGCCAUACCUGAGAGGUGAAUUGAACACAAUGAUCUAAGACGAUAGCACAUUAGCAGUGUUGGUGUAGUGGUAAUUUUGAGGCCUUGAUUUUGCUGAACACCUCACUCAAGUCAAUAUUAUGUGCUGGGAUUUUCACUUCAAUGCUUAAACCAUGCUUUCACAACAAUGCUUAAAACAGGUGGCACUUCAGGAUAACAGCUCACCUUGCUUCCACAAGAUGAUGUGAUCAUGGGCAGAUAACCAGGGUGUAUGAAGGACAACAGGAUUGUGUGUUGAUUUGGUUAUCAUGAAUGAAAGGAUAUCUCCAUGCAGAGGCCUGUGUGCAUCUGGAGAGGGAUGGGGCAUUUAGUUACUUUCACUCGUUCUAGUGGGCUGCAGUUCAGUGCUUUUACACUCAGUGGGCUUGUUAGGAGAAUGAGAGGGAUAUUUAGCAUAUCAGUUAUAGUUUCAUCUUGGACAUUCCCAGUUACACCUGAAUUUACAAGUGCAGGGACUACAUGAUUCUCAGAGCACCAGGACAACUGGAGUUCUUCUCUCAUCAAGGUGUUUCAGCCUGCAGAUCCCUGCACACAGAAUAUUUCUGUUUGUUUUUCACACCAUUCUGUGCGAAAUCAACAGCCCAUAAACAGCCCAUCUGGCACCAAUAACCAAGCCAUGGCUAAAGUCACUGAGAUCACAGUUUUCCCCAUUCUGAUCUUUAAUGUGAA